rnacentral:misc_RNA from 1 species
UGGACAUCUGGGAAGACAGCUC